rnacentral:lncRNA from 1 species
AUUGAAAACCUCUCUUCUCAUUUGGAUUAUACUGAAACCAAGAAUAACAAAAGGAAGCCAAGUCUUGGAAAAUCAGAUUUCUAUAACGCAAAGGUGAAGUCCUGUGAAACAUGAAAUAGGAUGCUGGUAUGUUUAGCAGGAAGCACUUGCCUGUUGUUUGCUGAGCUUUAAUACUCAGCAUGAGGAAGAUGACUGCAAGUUCUCUUCCAGAAAAUAUGGUAGUUCUCCCAUACAUCAGAAAACUUACAGUAAAAACUAGAAGAAUAAGUAAAAAAGAAAUCUGAACGUGGCACCAUUACCAACAAAUCACCUUUCAUCUUCAUGAAGUGAAGGAAUUAUUUACUUAAACAUUCCCAGGAAGGACCAGUGGAAUCAAAAGAUGGAACUGGCAUAAAUGUCAAUCUUUAUUCAAUCUCCCAGCACAGUACCCGCCUUGGGUGCUUCAAAUGAAUAUUAAAAAGCCGAAAACUGAACAAAAAAAAGACUGCUGAAGAAAGAUCUCGGGGGUUAGGACAACGCUUUUAGAAGGGGUACACUGUCCACUUCAUGGAUGCCAUCUUUGUCAAUGAAUCGGGCAUUGAAAGAAGUCAGAUUUAAGACGAAGCGUUUCUGAAGCUCCUCUAGACAUUUCUUUAGGAGCUCCACAGCUUCCUCACGUGUGAUACCUGGCUUGUAAUAGCGGUCCAGGAUGCUGAGGGUAAGAAAUGCACCAUAUCCAUGUGCUGCAAAGGGAGCCUUAGCCAGAGCUGCAAGGUAAUCCAUGUAAUACAGGGCAGGACCUUCAUGGUCAUCGUAGCCAGCCAGGAGAAGGUUGACAUGGUAAGGGGUUCGACUCCGAAGAUAAUCAGCUAGAUUUCGUCGUGUGAAGUUUGCAGCUGCAGUAGGAGACAAUUCAUAACCAUUUCGCAUUUUGUAGAGCUGAACGUUUUUCUGGAUAUAUUCUGCAAACUGCACAGUGUCUCCAGCCUCCCCCACACACAGCAGCAAGAUCUUUUCGCUCAUCUUAAACAUUUUAUCAUGGUCGUGCUUCAUCUGGACGAUGCUGGAAGCCGCCACGGUAUCAGCAGCCACCAGGACGUAGUCGGGGCCCUGAAUGCCGAUAAGGUACUCCAUAGCGGCCGCGCUCCGCCGCCCCCUCCGCCCGCGCCGUGACACAGCGAUGCGCCGCCGCCGUCUCCAAAACGCUGCCACCGCGCAUGCGCCGCCGCGGUGUGAUGACGCCACAUCUCGCGAGAGUAGGGCGUGGGAGUCACGUCGGUAGCGCGUUGCGUAAGGCGUGUGUUGGGGGGCGGAUUGGCUGCUCCUCUUUUAUGGCCCUUGCCCUAAUUAUCCCUGCUAAUUAAUCUCCUUGAUGAACAGGAGCCUGCGUGCGUUGAGGGGUUAUUUGGGUUGUUCUGUCAGCGUCCAAUGCAUUCUUUGCAGUGCCUGGUCUGUGCGCUGUGUUCCAGUUUGGUUCUCCUGUGCCAUGGGGGGGUGUGGAGGCUUCAGGCAAAUCUGGGCCUCUGUGCACACGGAUUGAGGUGUUUGGUGCUGCUCCCGGCCCAGAUGUAUAUUGUUCCUUAUUCAAAAGCAUGCUUGCAAGGCACAGUCUCAAAGAAAGGAGGAAAAAUGAAUUGUAAUAGGGCAGCUUCUCCUGCAAAUGCUUUGUGGGAUAAAACCAAGCUGGCUUGGCUUGCAUGCCCUGGAGCAGAGGGCACUGCUUGGAACUGAAACUCUGUGGAGGUCCAAGAGGAGAGCUGCUCCAAGCCCUGCCCUGCAAGGCAGCUGUUCUUGGGCAAAAAAUGCAUUGGAAGUGAAACCCUGGCGCUGCCACAGCCUCUGAUCUGUGCGUUCAAAGGGAGCUGAACUGUGAAGAGAGGCGGCGAAACCCCUCCAGCAGCAGCGCAGGGUUUAUUCACUGCCCAUCUUUCUGUGUCAGGAGCAGCUGGCAGUGCCAAGCCUGAGCCCUGGCCUCGGCUCCUUGCUGCUCCUGUGCUGCGUGCUGUGUAGCCGGUAGCCAUGAGCGAGUUCAGGCUGUCCCUGCCCCACUGCCAGCCCCAUCCCACACAGAACCCCCUCAGCCACAGGGACAAGCCCUGGCUUGAUUCACCUACUGAGCCAGCACAGGAAUUUGUUCCUUGCUGACAUGUGCAUGCCAAACACUGGGGGGAAACUCCCAAGCUGCAGAUGUGUCUGCUGAUUUCCUGAUCUGAUGGUAGCUUCAGAGCUCUGUGAGCUCUGCUCUGGGACUUUGGAUGGAAUGUCCCUGUUUCAUCCCUUGGAUGAACAUGGGUUCUGACAGCUGCUCAGCAGCAGAUGCUCUCCUCACUAUUCCCUUCUUUUUCCCCACUCCCAGCCUGUUUUAGUUUCUCAGUGCCUUGUCUUAGGUGGCCACUGAGCACCCAGAAGCUUCCAGGUGUGGCUGUAAAGUAGGUAAUUGAUAACAAGAGAAACAAAACAAAUACUCUAAUUGCCUGGAUGUUGACUGACUGCAGGCACCAUCCUGACGAGCACUAGCACAUGCUUUAUUGAUUAGACACUGCCUGAGCCCGGCACACACGUUGGCUAAGUGCAGCUCCACAAAGACCAGCCCCACGCCAAUGAAAG